UAUACACACGUGCUACAAUGAACGCAUACAAAGAGAAGCGCACCUCGCGAGAGCAAGCGGACCUCAUAAAGUGCGUCGUAGUCCGGAUCGGAGUCUGCAACUCGACUCCGUGAAGUCGGAAUCGCUAGUAAUCGUGGAUCAGAACGCCACGGUGAAUACGUUCCCGGGCCUUGUACACACCGCCCGUCACACCAUGGGAGUGGGUUGCAAAAGAAGUAGGUAGCUUAACCUUCGGGAGGGCGCUUACCACUUUGUGAUUCAUGACUGGGGUGAAGUCGUAACAAGGUAACCGUAGGGGAACCUGCGGUUGGAUCCCCUCCUA
rnacentral:rRNA from 1 species